rnacentral:rRNA from 1 species
UACGGAGGGAGCUAGCGUUGUUCGGAAUUACUGGGCGUAAAGCGCACGUAGGCGGCUUUGUAAGUUAGAGGUGAAAGCCCGGAGCUCAACUCCGGAAUUGCCUUUAAGACUGCAUCGCUUGAAUCCAGGAGAGGUGAGUGGAAUUCCGAGUGUAGAGGUGAAAUUCGUAGAUAUUCGGAAGAACACCAGUGGCGAAGGCGACUUACUGGACACAUAUUGACGCUGAGGUGCGAAAGCGUGGGGAGCAAACAGG